rnacentral:tmRNA from 2 species
GGGAAUGCAAUUGGAUCGGCCGGUGUUGAGAGAGUAUGCUGGUGUUCCUGUCCGAUGGAACCUGUCAGCGCAGGUGACAUGGACAGGAUUGGCAACAGAAUAUGGGGAUGAUCGGUUUCGACGUUGGACACUGCGUCGGGAGAAGCGGGCCGAGAAUGCAGAGUCAUCUCGUUAAUGUCCUCUGCAAAACAAUAGGUGCUAAAUCUGAAAACCGCACCGAUUUCGCCCUCGCUGCCUGAUAGAGCGCGAGCUGCGAAUCCGUCAGCCUAGAGUUGCCUCUGCUCUAGAUCCUGGCGUCGCUUAAGGGGCCACUGCUUCAGAUGCACGUUGGGGGCAUCUGAGGGACUCUUACCCAACUCCGUUCGUUGGUCUACGUGUUCGUGCGAUGGCCAGAACCUAAGAGACUGCUUCACGAACUGCGCCCGGAGAAGUCCUGACAAUCUGCCGACGGACGCGGGUUCGAUUCCCGCCAUCUCCAC